GAUUCCCUACGGGGCGCAGCAGUGGGGAAUAUUGCACAAUGGGCGAAAGCCUGAUGCAGCAACGCCGCGUGAAGGAAGAAGGGUUUCGGCUCGUAAACUUCUAUUAACAGGGACGAAAGAAAUGACGGUACCUGAAUAAGAAGCCCCGGCUAACUACGUGCCAGCAGCCGCGGUAAUACGCAGGGGGCAAGCGUUAUCCGGAAUUACUGGGUGUAAAGGGUGAGUAGGGGGCAUGGUAAGCCAGAUGUGAAAGCCUUGGGCUUAACCC
rnacentral:rRNA from 1 species